rnacentral:rRNA from 1 species
AUGGGGACCUUGUCUUGUUCUAGUAUAAGCAACUAUACGGUGAAACUGCGAAUGGCUCAUUAAAUCAGUUAUCGUUUAUUUGAUAGUACUUUACUACAUGGAUAACCGUGGUAAUUCUAGAGCUAAUACAUGCUAAAAACCCCGACUUCGGGAGGGGUGUAUUUAUUAGAUAAAAAACCAAUGCCCUUCGGGGCUCUAUGGUGAAUCAUAAUAACUUAACGAAUCGCAUGGCCUUGCGCCGGCGAUGGUUCAUUCAAAUUUCUGCCCUAUCAACUUUCGAUGGUAGGAUAGUGGCCUACCAUGGUAUCAACGGGUAACGGGGAAUUAGGGUUCUAUUCCGGAGAGGGAGCCUGAGAAACGGCUACCACAUCCAAGGAAGGCAGCAGGCGCGCAAAUUACCCAAUCCCGACACGGGGAGGUAGUGACAAUAAAUACUGAUACAGGGCUCUUUUGGGUCUUGUAAUUGGAAUGAGUACAAUUUAAAUACCUUAACGAGGAACAAUUGGAGGGCAAGUCUGGUGCCAGCAGCCGCGGUAAUUCCAGCUCCAAUAGCGUAUAUUAAAGUUGUUGCAGUUAAAAAGCUCGUAGUUGAACCUUGGGCCUGGCUGGCCGGUCCGCCUCACCGCGUGUACUGGUCCGGCCGGGCCUUUCCUUCUGGGGAACCGCAUGCCCUUCACUGGGCGUGUGUGGGAACCAGGACUUUUACUUUGAAAAAAUUAGAGUGUUCAAAGCAGGCCUUUGCUCGAAUACAUUAGCAUGGAAUAAUAGAAUAGGACGUGUGGUUCUAUUUUGUUGGUUUCUAGGACCGCCGUAAUGAUUAAUAGGGAUAGUCGGGGGCAUCUGUAUUCAAUUGUCAGAGGUGAAAUUCUUGGAUUUAUUGAAGACAAACUACUGCGAAAGCAUUUGCCAAGGAUGUUUUCAUUAAUCAGUGAACGAAAGUUAGGGGAUCGAAGACGAUCAGAUACCGUCGUAGUCUUAACAUAAACUAUGCCGACUAGGGAUCGGGGGGUGUUAUCAUUUUGACCUCCUCGGCACCUUACGAGAAAUCAAGUUCUUUGGGUUCUGGGGGGAGUAUGUCCGCAAGGCUGAAACUUAAAGGAAUUGACGGAGAA